rnacentral:rRNA from 1 species
CUAAAACAUGCAAGUCUGGGAGAAUCCUUCGGGAGGACACUGGCGAAAGGGCGAGUAAUGCGAUCGAACGUAUCCCAAGGUGGGGGAUAGCGUCGGGAAACUGACGGUAAUACCCCAUGUGCUCUACGGAGGAAAGCUUUGGCGCCUCGGGAGCGGCGAUCGUCCUAUCAGGUAGUUGGUGAGGUAAAGGCUCACCAAGCCGAAGACGGGUAGCGGGUGUGAGAGCAUGACCCGCCGCAUCGGGACUGAGACACUGCCCGGACUCCUACGGGAGGCUGCAGUAACGAAUCUUCCGCAAUGGGCGAAAGCCUGACGGAGCAAUGCCGCGUGUGGGAUGAAGCAUCUUCGAUGUGUAAACCACGUCAGGUUCUAGAAUCAAUGAUCAGAACCAGAGGAAGGGCCGGCUAAACUCGUGCCAGCAGCCGCGGUAAUACGAGUGGCCCGAGCGUUAAUCGGAAUCACUGGGCUUAAAGGGUGCGCAGGCGGAUCGGCAGGCAUCUCGUGAAAUCCCACGGCUCAACCGUGGAACUGCGGGGUGAACCGCCGAUCUUGAGACAAGUAGGGGCGAUCGGAACGCUAGGUGGAGUGGUGGAAUGCGUUGAUAUCUAGCGGAACGCCGAAGGAGAAAUCAGGUCGCUGGGCUUGUUCUGACGCUGAGGUACGAAAGCGUGGGGAGCGAACGGGAUUAGAUACCCCGGUAGUCCACGCCGUAAACGAUGUGCACUAGGUCGAGGUGGGUCUGACCCCUUCUCGGCCGAAGCGAAAGUGUUAAGUGCACCGCCUGGGGAGUACGGUCGCAAGGCUAAAACUCAAAGGAAUUGACGGGGGCUCACACAAGCGGUGGAGCAUGUGGCUUAAUUCGAAGCAACGCGAAGAACCUUAUCCUGGAUUUGACAUGCACGGAUUAACCUGUCGAAAGGCAGGCCACGCCCUCGGGUGGAACGUGCACAGGUGCUGCAUGGCUGUCGUCAGCUCGUGCUGUGAAGUGUCGGGUUAAGUCCCUUAACGAGCGAAACCCCUGUCGUUAGUUGCUAGCAGGUAAUGCUGAGGACUCUAGCGAGACUGCCGGUGUCAAACCGGAGGAAGGUGGGGAUGACGUCAAGUCCGCAUGGCCUUUAUGCCCAGGGCUGCACACGUGCUACAAUGGCCGGUACAGAACGACGCAAGAUCGCAAGAUGGAGCAAAUCGCCUAAAGCCGGCCCCAGUUCGGAUUGGGGGCUGCAAUUCGCCCCCAUGAAGUUGGAAUCGCUAGUAAUCGCGGAUCAGCUACGCCGCGGUGAAUACGUUCCUGAGCCUUGUACACACCGCCCGUCAAGUCAUGGAAGCUGGCAGCGCCCGAAGUCGCCCCA